rnacentral:rRNA from 1 species
GACGGAGGAUGCAAGCGUUAUCCGGAAUGAUUGGGCGUAAAGCGUCUGCAGGUGGCAGUUCAAGUCUGCUGUCAAAGACCGGGGCUUAACUUCGGAAAGGCAGUGGAAACUGAACAGCUAGAGUAUGGUAGGGGCAGAGGGAAUUCCUGGUGUAGCGGUGAAAUGCGUAGAGAUCAGGAAGAACAUCGGUGGCGAAGGCGGCUCACUGGGUCUCUUCUGACGCUGAGGAACGAAAGCUAGGGGAGCAAACGGG